AUUGAACGCUGGCGGCAGGCCUAACACAUGCAAGUCGAGCGAGCGGCGGACGGGUGAGUAAUGUAUGGGGACUGCCCGAUAGAGGGGGAUAACUACUGGAAACGGUGGCUAAUUCCGCAUACUCUCGGAUAACCUAUAUGGGAUUAGCCAGUAGGUGGGGGAAAGGUUCAAGUAGGCGACGAUCUCUAGCUGGUCUGCGAGGAGAAUCAGCACAACUGUGACUGGGACCCAGCCCAGACUCCUACGGAGACAGCAGUGGGGAAUAUUGCACAAUGGGCGCAAGCCUGAUGCAGCCAAGCCGCAUGUAUAAAGAGGGCCUUAGGGUUUUAAAGUACUUUCAGCGGGGAGUAGUUGCCCGCAGAAGAAGCAGCGGCUAACUCCGUGCCAGCAGCCGCGGUGAUAC
rnacentral:rRNA from 1 species